CCCUUAGAUGUCCUGGGCCGCACGCGCGCUACACUGACAUGUUCAACAAGCCUCCUAGUUCGACAGGAUUUGGGAAAUCUUUGAACGCAUGUCGUGAUAGGGAUAGAUCAUUGCAAUUAUUGAUCUUGAACGAGGAAUUCCUAGUAAACGCGAGUCAUCAGCUCGCAUUGAUUACGUCCCUGCCCUUUGUACACACCGCCCGGCGCACCUACCGAUUGAAUGUUUCGGUGAAGAUUCCGGAUAGGACUUUUUUGAUUUAUUUCAAUUUUGUCUUAAAAGCUAUCUAAACCUCAACAUUUAGAGGAAGGUGAAGUCGUAACA
rnacentral:rRNA from 1 species